UACGGAGGGUGCAAGCGUUGUCCGGAUUUAUUGGGUUUAAAGGGUGCGUAGGCGGCUUUUUAAGUCAGUGGUGAAAGACAACAGCUCAACUGUUGCAGUGCCAUUGAUACUGAAGAGCUUGAGUACAGAUGAGGUAGGCGGAAUUUAUGGUGUAGCGGUGAAAUGCAUAGAUAUCGUCAAGAACACCGAUAGCGAAGGCAGCUUACUAGACUGUAACUGACGCUGAUGCACGAAAGUGUGGGGAUCAAACAGG
rnacentral:rRNA from 1 species